rnacentral:rRNA from 1 species
CGCAUCUGUGCAUGCAGCAUAUCAAUAAGCGGAGGAAAAGAAACUAACAAGGAUUCCCCUAGUAACGGCGAGUGAAGCGGGAAGAGCUCAAAUUUGAAAUCUUAAAGGGUUUCCCUUUACGAAUUGUAGUUUAAAGAAGUGUUUUCUGUUGAGGUUUUGGUAAAAGUUCUUUGGAAUAGGACAUCAUAGAGGGUGAGAAUCCCGUAUUUGACCUUUACUUUCAACUUUGUGAUACACUUUCAAAGAGUCGGAUUGUCUGGGAAUGCAGUCCAAAAUGGGUGGUAAAUUUCAUCUAAAGCUAAAUAUUGGCGAGAGACCGAUAGCGAACAAGUACCAUGAGGGAAAGAUGAAAAGAACUUUGAAAAGAGAGUUAAACAGUACGUGAAAUUGUCAAAAGGGAAGCGUUUGACACCAGUGUUGUUUUUCUGAAAAUCAAUUAAAGAACUGUUUAUGCUAAGCUGUUUAGACUUUAUCAGCUAUCUGUUUAGUUUUGAGCUUUUCUUUAAUGCACUUUUCAGUUAACAAGUCAACAUCAAUUUCUUUUGCUGUAAAAAAGCUUGAGGAAGGUGGCUUGAGAUUCGUCUUAAGUGUUUAUAGCCUCUUGCCUAUGCAGUCGGAGAGAUUGAGGUCUGCAGCGUAGAUCCUUCGGGGCUAAAUGCAUUUGUGCUAAGUUAUAGCAUUUUAUAGACAACUUGUUGACUAUGAUUUGUCUUGUAGCUUACUCGCUUAUGUUAUUUUACCUACGCUUAGGAUGUUGAAUCUGUGCGAGACUAC